rnacentral:rRNA from 1 species
CCUACGGGUGGCAGCAGUCGAGAAUCAUUCACAAUGGGGGAAACCCUGAUGGUGCGACGCCGCGUGGGGGAAUGAAGGUCUUCGGAUUGUAAACCCCUGUCAUGUGGGAGCAAAUUAAAAAGAUAGUACCACAAGAGGAAGAGACGGCUAACUCUGUGCCAGCAGCCGCGGUAAUACAGAGGUCUCAAGCGUUGUUCGGAAUCACUGGGCGUAAAGCGUGCGUAGGCUGUUUCGUAAGUCGUGUGUGAAAGGCGCGGGCUUAACCCGCGGACGGCACAUGAUACUGCGAGACUAGAGUAAGGGAGGGGGAACCGGAAUUCUCGGGGUAGCAGUGAAAUGCGUAGAUAUCGAGAGGAACACUCGUGGCGAAGGCGGGUUCCUGGACAUUAACUGACGCUGAGGCACGAAGGCCAGGGGAGCGAAAGGGAUUAGAUACCCUGGUAGUC